rnacentral:rRNA from 1 species
GUCACACUCCUACGGGAGGCAGCAGUGAGGAAUAUUGGUCAAUGGAGGGAACUCUGAACCAGCCAUCCCGCGUGUAGGAAGACGGCCUUAUGGGUUGUAAACUACUUUAUACAGGAAGAAACGUACCCUCGUGAGGGUGCCUGACGGUACUGUAGGAAUAAGCACCGGCUAACUCCGUGCCAGCAGCCGCGGUAAUACGGAGGGGGUUAGCGUUGUUCGGAAUUACUGGGCGUAAAGCGCACGUAGGCGGAUCGGAAAGUUGGGGGUGAAAUCCCGGGGCUCAACCCGGAACGGCCUCCAAAACUAUCGGUCUAGAGUUCGAGAGAGGUGAGUGGAAUUCCGAGUGUAGAGGUGAAAUUCGUAGAUAUUCGGAGGAACACCAGUGGCGAAGGCGGCUCACUGGCUCGAUACUGACGCUGAGGUGCGAAAGUGUGGGGAGCAAACAGGAUUAGAUACCCUGGUAG